rnacentral:tRNA from 1 species
GCGGGCGUGGCGGAACUGGCAGACGCGCGGGACUUAGGAUCCCGUGGCCGCAAGGCCUUGCAGGUUCGACUCCUGUCGCCCGCA